GACGAACGCUGGCGGCGUGCUUAACACAUGCAAGUCGAACGGAAAGGCCCUGCUUUUGUGGGGUGCUCGAGUGGCGAACGGGUGAGUAACACGUGAGUAACCUGCCCUUGACUUUGGGAUAACUUCAGGAAACUGGGGCUAAUACCGGAUAGGAGCUCCUGCUGCAUGGUGGGGGUUGGAAAGUUUCGGCGGUUGGGGAUGGACUCGCGGCUUAUCAGCUUGUUGGCGGGGUAGUGGCUUACCAAGGCUUUGACGGGUAGCCGGCCUGAGAGGGUGACCGGACACAUUGGGACUGAGAUACGGCCCAGACUCCUACGGGAGGCAGCAGUGGGGAAGAUUGCACAAUGGGCUGAAGCCUGAUGCAGCAACGCCGCGUGCGGGAUGACGGCCUUCGGGUUGUAAACCGCUUUCGCCUGUGACGAAGCGUGAGUGACGGUAAUGGGUAAAGAAGCACCGGCUAACUACGUG
rnacentral:rRNA from 1 species